rnacentral:rRNA from 1 species
ACCCGAAACCGGGCGACCUACCCAUGAGCAGGAUGAAGCGAAAGUAAAAUUUCGUGGAGGUCCGAACCCACGAGCGUUGAAAAGCUCGGGGAUGACUUGUGGGUAGCGGUGAAAUUCCAAUCGAGCCCGGAGAUAGCUGGUUCUCCCCGAAAUAGCUUUAGGGCUAGCCUCAAGGUGAGAGAUACGGAGGUAGAGCACUGAAUGUCCUAGGGGGUAUUGCACCUACCGAAGACUAUCAAACUCCGAAUGCCGUCAUCUUAUACUUGGGAGUCAGACUGUGGGUGAUAAGAUUCAUAGUCGAAAGGGCAACAGCCCAGAUCG